ACUGUCUGUAAACCCUGUCUCUGAGGACAGACACACAGUUUGCAGCAAGCUCUCGAAUCCGCCUGGUGAUUGGGGUGACCGCGAACCUGGCCUGAGACCCCGGAUACUUGAGUUUUUCGGGGGUCUAACAUUUUGGGGGCUCGUCCUCGAUUUGCGACCACGCUUCACCUAAGUGGAUUCGAUCUUGGAGGGGGUCAGGGGUCUUUUCUUGAUUCUCUGAGCACGUGGCGCCACCUCAACUAUGAUCGGCAGAUGCACCCGGAGGACAGACUGCCACUCUGAGGACACCCAGGACCCAGGAGGUACAGACUCGGGCCAAGGACACUUGGACCCGCCUCAGUUAGCCGCCGAGUUCUGCCG
rnacentral:lncRNA from 1 species